UCUAUGCUAACUGUGCUGACUCAUAUCCAGGAAUGCUCUAAUUAAUCUUAUUCCUCUUUUCCCUUAAAUUUACAGCCCAGAAACUCAAAACAGACAUCCCCAACUUUCUUAAAGUUGUUAAUCAAUUUCUAGUUCCUACGAAAAGAGAAUAAAUCACCUGUCCGUUUGCUAAAGAAUCAGAGUUUAUUUUCACUAAACGUCCAGGGGAAAUUUACUACCCAUAUCUCCGUAGCAGCUGCCUAACAACUUCCUUCUCUUCUUCUCCACUACGGCAAGUACUUUCAAAAAAGUUUUUUUUAACCUUGUAUGUAGUUUAAGGUUCCAGUUACCUACAGGUAUUUAAUAUUUAUUUUUCUUAAAUUAUUCUGGUAGUUAUAAAUUUAGCUGGAGCAGCGCUUUGCUGCUUAGAGAGAGGCUAGUCUCCCUUGCUAUUUGAUACGUUUCCCUGUGUUACAGGGGGGAACAAAAUUGUGGUUGUUUAUAUCCCCACAAAAGUACUCAUCCUGUUAUAUUUUGGCAAUGUUUGAGGCUCCCUUCCAGCUUAUGGAGAGUACCUCUCCUUUCCCCUUGGCGUGGGUUGCCUGGAAAACGUUCAAAGAGAUUGGAGUUUUCACGGAGCUCAAGCUCUGUGCUGCUGCUGCCUCCGCUGCUAAACCGGAAGUCCGUGCCAGCACUUUGUGAAGUAGUUCAUCUAAUCAACUUUGCAUUUAUAACUGAGAAGGUUUUUACAAGGCAACAUCUGACCUUUGCUGUGUUGGUGGCACAAGUGACCAUUACCAUUUGAAUCAGGAAGCUUUGGGAGGAGGAAAAAUGGAGAUCUUUACAUAAGCCAACUGAAGAACAGCAGGGAACAUGAGACUGUAGUAUUUCUUUUCAACACACUUCUAUUAUACUUGCAGUUUCCUUUCUAUUAUGAAGUUUUUCUUUGUCUUAGGAAAAGCAUUUAUAGUUAAAUGGGAACGUUUCAGGGCAGAUAUUGGGGAUAACUUGAUUAAAUUUAGACUUUAAAGUGGAGUCUAAUGGGACCAGUGUUGCAAACCUCUAUGUGAACCAAUUGAUUUACUCAGUCUGCUUCAAUGUUAUUCUCAAAGACUGAAUUUUUAGCAACGACACUCAUAAUGAACACAGCAUCUAUAUCAUGCUCCAUUCCAUGUUUGUACAUACAACUGGUUGUGCCUUCCUUUACCUGUUACAUACUAAAAUAAUGCAUUGCCCAUUUGCAGAGCUUUGCUUCACAUGGAACAAACACAUUACUUCCAGUUUUUAAAUGGUGACUGCCUCACUGUGUGCAUGGCUGAUGAUGCUAUAUCUUGAGUUUAAUAAGCUGGAACUAUGAACCGAGUGAAUGCGCACUUUCAGUCUCUCACUGUGUUUUUGAAAGAACCACUUUCCUAGGAUGUUUUUUGGAUUAGCUGCUUGAAUAAAUAAUACAAGUAAAAGUGA